rnacentral:misc_RNA from 1 species
CGCACCUUGCGCCCUCUGGUAUUCCGAAAGGCAUGCCUGUUUGAGUGUCAUGUAGACUCAACCCCUCGGGUUUCUGACCCGGGGACGUUGGAUUUGGGCCCUGGCUUCCGAGCCUGGCCUUAAAUGUGUUAGUGGGUCCCGCCCAGACGUUUUAAGUACUCGUCGACCGCGGCCCUCUCAUAAAACCUCUAUACUUUGACUCUGACCUCAAAUCAGGUAGGGCUACCCGCUGAACUUAA